rnacentral:rRNA from 1 species
AACGCGUGGGAAUCUGCCCUUGGGUACGGAAUAACUCAGAGAAAUUUGUGCUAAUACCGUAUAAUGUCUUCGGACCAAAGAUUUAUCGCCCAAGGAUGAGCCCGCGUAAGAUUAGCUAGUUGGUGGGGUAAAAGCCUACCAAGGCGACGAUCUUUAGCUGGUCUGAGAGGAUGAUCAGCCACACUGGGACUGAGACACGGCCCAGACUCCUACGGGAGGCAGCAGUGGGGAAUAUUGGACAAUGGGCGAAAGCCUGAUCCAGCAAUGCCGCGUGAGUGAUGAAGGCCUUAGGGUUGUAAAGCUCUUUUAUCCGGGAUGAUAAUGACAGUACCGGGAGAAUAAGCUCCGGCUAACUCCGUGCCAGCAGCCGCGGUAAUACGGAGGGAGCUAGCGUUGUUCGGAAUUACUGGGCGUAAAGCGCGCGUAGGCGGUUUUUUAAGUCAGAGGUGAAAGCCCAGUGCUCAACACUGGAACUGCCUUUGAAACUGGAAAACUUGAAUCUUGGAGAGGUCAGUGGAAUUCCGAGUGUAGAGGUGAAAUUCGUAGAUAUUCGGAAG